AAGUCGUAACAAGGUUUCCGUAGGUGAACCUGCGGAAGGAUCAUUACCGAGCGUUGGCCGCGGGCACCCCCCGUGGCCUAUACCUCCCACCCCCUGUGGACAUCUCCCGUUGCUUUGGCGGGCCCGCGCCCGCCAGAGCCCCCAAGACGCGACCGAUUUACGAGCCGUCCGAGUGGUGACAUACAAUCAAGCAAAACUUUCAACAAUGGAUCUCUUGGCUCUG
rnacentral:misc_RNA from 1 species